AACGAACGCUGGCGGCAUGCCUAACACAUGCAAGUCGAACGAGACCUCCGUGUGUAGUGGCGCACGGGUGCGUCACGCGUGGGAACCUGCCCUUAUGUUCGGAAUACCUCUCCGAAAGGGGUGCUAAUACCGGAUAAUGUCUUCGAACAACGGAUUUAACCCAUUUGUAUAAGCCGGCGUUGGUUUAGCUUGUUGGUAGGGUAAAAGCCGACCAAGGCGACGAUCCGUAGCUGGUCUGAGGGGCUGAUCAGCCACACUGGGACUGUGACACGGUCCAGACUCCUACGGGAGGGAGCAGUGGGGAAUAGUGGACAAAGGGCGCAAGCCUGAUCCAGAAAGACCGCGUGGGUGAAGAAGGCCUUCGGGUUGUAAAGCCCUUUUGUUGGGAAAGAAAAGCAGCAGGUUAAUACCCCGCUGUUCUGACGGUACCCAAAGAAUAAGCACCGCCUAACUUCGUG
rnacentral:rRNA from 1 species